rnacentral:rRNA from 1 species
AGUGAGGAAUUUUGCGCAAUGGGGGCAACCCUGACGCAGCAACGCCGCGUGAGUGAAGAAGGCUUUUGGGUCGUAAAGCUCUGUCAACMGGGAAGAAAUUAGUUUUAUUUAAUAGAUAANNCUAUUGACGGUACCUGUGGAGGAAGCGCCGGCUAACUCCGUGCCAGCAGCCGCGGUAACACGGGGGGCGCAAGCGUUAUUCGGAAUUAUUGGGCGUAAAGGGCGCGCAGGCGGUCUUGUCMGUCAGGUGUGAAAGCUCGGGGCUCAACCCCGGAAGUGCANUUGAAACAGCAAGACUUGAAUACGGGAGAGGAGAGAGGAAUUCCUGGUGUAGAGGUGAAAUUCGUAGAUAUCAGGAGGAACACCGAUGGCGAAGGCAUCUCUCUGGACCGAUAUUGACGCUGAGGCGCGAAGGCGUGGGUAGCGAACGGGAUUAGAUACCCCGGUAGUCCACGCAGUAAACGUUGUACACUCGGUGUAGCG